ACUUCUGUGGUGAAGUGGUAGUACGAGUGUCCGGUAAAGGCAAAGCACGGGUUCGACUCCCGCCAUGAGACAGAAGUU